rnacentral:rRNA from 1 species
GACGAACGCUGGCGGCGUGCUUAACACAUGCAAGUCGAACGGAAAGGCCCUGCUUUUGUGGGGUGCUCGAGUGGCGAACGGGUGAGUAACACGUGAGUAACCUGCCCUUGACUUUGGGAUAACUUCAGGAAACUGGGGUUAAUACCGGAUAGGAGCUCCUGCUGCAUGGUGGGGGUUGGAAAGUUUCGGCGGUUGGGGAUGGACUCGCGGCUUAUCAGCUUGUUGGUGGGGUAGUGGCUUACCAAGGCUUUGACGGGUAGCCGGCCUGAGAGGGUGACCGGCCACAUUGGGACUGAGAUACGGCCCAGACUCCUACGGGAGGCAGCAGUGGGGAAUAUUGCACAAUGGGCGGAAGCCUAAUGCAGCAACGCCGCGUGCGGGAUGACGGCCUUCGGGUUGUAAACCGCUUUCGCCUGUGACGAAGCGUGAGUGACGGUAAUGGGUAAAGAAGCACCGGCUAACUACGUG